rnacentral:rRNA from 1 species
GUCUUCGGAUGCUGACGAGUGGCGAACGGGUGAGUAAUACAUCGGAACGUGCCCAGACGUGGGGGAUAACUAGGCGAAAGCUUUGCUAAUACCGCAUACGAUCUAAGGAUGAAAGCAGGGGACCGCAAGGCCUUGCGCGUUUGGAGCGGCUGAUGGCAGAUUAGGUAGUUGGUGGGAUAAAAGCUUACCAAGCCGACGAUCUGUAGCUGGUCUGAGAGGACGACCAGCCACACUGGGACUGAGACACGGCCCAGACUCCUACGGGAGGCAGCAGUGGGGAAUUUUGGACAAUGGGCGAAAGCCUGAUCCAGCAAUGCCGCGUGCAGGAUGAAGGCCUUCGGGUUGUAAACUGCUUUUGUACGGAACGAAAAGGCUCUGGCUAAUACCUGGGGCACAUGACGGUACCGUAAGAAUAAGCACCGGCUAACUACGUGCCAGCAGCCGCGGUAAUACGUAGGGUGCGAGCGUUAAUCGGAAUUACUGGGCGUAAAGCGUGCGCAGGCGGUUUUGUAAGACAGAGGUGAAAUCCCCGGGCUCAACCUGGGAACUGCCUUUGUGACUGCAUAGCUGGAGUGCGGCAGAGGGGGAUGGAAUUCCGCGUG